CCUGGCGGCGAUAGCGCGGUGGUCCCACCUGACCCCAUGCCGAACUCAGAAGUGAAACGCCGUAGCGCCGAUGGUAGUGUGGGGCUUCCCCAUGUUAGAGUAGGGAACUGCCAGGC
rnacentral:rRNA from 1 species